rnacentral:rRNA from 1 species
UACACUCCUGCGGGAGGCAGCAGUGGGGAAUUUUGGACAAUGGGCGAAAGCCUGAUCCAGCCAUGCCGCGUGCAGGAUGAAGGCCUUCGGGUUGUAAACUGCUUUUGUACGGAACGAAACGGCCUUUUCUAAUAAAGAGGGCUAAUGACGGUACCGUAAGAAUAAGCACCGGCUAACUACGUGCCAGCAGCCGCGGUAAUACGUAGGGUGCAAGCGUUAAUCGGAAUUACUGGGCGUAAAGCGUGCGCAGGCGGUUAUGUAAGACAGUUGUGAAAUCCCCGGGCUCAACCUGGGAACUGCAUCUGUGACUGCAUAGCUAGAGUACGGUAGAGGGGGAUGGAAUUCCGCGUGUAGCAGUGAAAUGCGUAGAUAUGCGGAGGAACACCGAUGGCGAAGGCAAUCCCCUGGACCUGUACUAACGCUCAUGCACGAAAGCGUGGGGAGCAAACAGGAUUAGAAACCCUAGUAGUCCCA